AUUGAACGCUGGCGGCAGGCCUAACACAUGCAAGUCGAGCGGAUGAAGGGAGCUUGCUCCUGGAUUCAGCGGCGGACGGGUGAGUAAUGCCUAGGAAUCUGCCUGGUAUGGGGGGAUAACGUCCGGAAACGGGCGCUAAUACCGCAUACGUCCUGAGGGAGAAAGAGGGGGAUCUUCGGACCUCACGCGCUCAGAGGAGCCUAGGUCGGAUUAGCUAGUUGGUGGGGUAAGGGCCUACCAAGGCGACGAUCGGUAACUGGUCUGAGAGGAUGAUCAGUCACACUGGAACUUAGACACGGUCCAGGCUCCUACGGGAGGCAGCAGUGGGGAAUAUUGGACAAUGGGCGAAAGCCUUAUCCAGCCAUGCCGCGUGUGUGAAGAAGGUCUUCGGAUUGUAAAGCACUUUAAGUUGGGAGGAAGGGCAGUAAGUUAAUACCUUGCUGUUUUGACGUUACCAACAGAAUAAGCACCGGCUAACUUCGUG
rnacentral:rRNA from 1 species